UAGAGGUAUUCCACUUACCCAGUGUCUCAGAUAUACAGGUGUAAAUAAAUAUCUGUCUCAUUUACAGAGGGUUCCAUUAAUAGAGGUGCGAUCAUUAAAUAAAAUAACGUGUUAUGUAUGUAAAUGAGUUUAAAUAAAAAAAAAUAGUACAUACGUAAAGGUAAUCAUACAAAUGUAAUCAACAAAAAUAUUCAAGCACGUUUUUACACGUAAAAUGUACGAAUAUGGAAACAGAAUGUAUCAAUUAUAAAAAUCUGUCAUU